AUGGCAAACAGAUUAGAUUUGUUGUCUCUAGGUGUUUUCGUUAGAGAAUCCUUUAAAUGUUGCCUAAACUUUCUGUGUCUAUUCUGUUCUCUUUGCCUAGAAUUUCCUCCAUUUCAUCUCUAUUUGUGGAAAUCUUGCCAUUCAUUCAAGAUUCUCUUCAAAUGCCAGUUUCUCCAUGAAACCCAGCUUGCAGUCUUCAACCAGGUCAGCACUGUGGGUGACAGAUGCUUCUUUUUGCUGUUGGAACACUUCAUAUUCAUCUCUGGUAUUGUUACGGCCUUCAACAUACCUUACCAACAAGAGAGGUUUGUUGACUGAUGACAGCAGAUAUAACAAAAUCUAACUAGCGACGGCUGUAAGAAUUGGCAAAGCAUUACUGCAUCAACAGGUAUGUGGACUAUCUAAGAGCCCCAGAAAGGACAAAGAAAGAAGUUUACAGAUUCUAAUGCCCCUUACUACUGUAUCCGGCCUUUCUCCUGGUGGUAUGGUGAGAGUUGACAGUUUGGUGGAUUUAAUUUAGGAUCUAUAUUAGGAUAAGAUACACUCUGUUUUCCUACACAAAUUUGCUGCAGAAUGGCAGCCACAGUCUGGGACCCCCUUGAGCUUGAGGCUAAAUGACCUGGUGGCCCACCCUUCUCAUCUGUACCACCUUUAAUAUGUCAUCGUUUCCUCAAGGCCUGGGUUUUGUUCACUUAGGGUGAUAUUGAACAUGAAGUUUUCAAACAGCAAUACCUUGAGUGACAGACAAGGGCUAGUUAAUGAUCUCAUUCAUAAUUCAUCCCGUGAAGGAACCAUUUACACUCAAACUCCAAGCAGGAAGAAAAUAUUCCCAUUAGUUAGGGCUUUUUAAAUGCUUCUGCCUUUGCCACAGUGCUGAGAGAAAACUGUGGUCUUCAGUAGUAAGGGCAUAUGGCUGCAAACAGAGUGCCCAGGUUAGAGACACCAAGAGCUGCAGCAUCACUCAGCAAUAGCUAUUUCAGAGGGAUGCAAAGCCUUCCCUGGGAAAAAGUUGAACAGGACUCAGUGCCAAAACACAGCACUUUCAAAAAGAAAUGAAUUUCUAAUUAAACAUCCUGAAGACAGAAGCUGACAUGUCAUUGCAGAGCUAAUAAUAAGACCUCCUGAAAUGUUCAAAAGUUCUCCAGAGUAGGUGUGAACAAUUACAUUUCCCUCUCUCCGUCAGUGAAGGGUUACCACCAGUUCUUUAAGAAAGAAAAACUGAAGGUUAGUAUCUGAAAGUAUUGAAUAAUGUGCUUAUUACUAUGUGUGGGUUUAGAUAUUCUCCAAAAAAAAAUCCCUUUUCCUUCCAAAAUUAAAAAGAACCCCUCUAACUUUUGUUAACUGUAAAUAGAAUCUUUUUUUAAAAGAAAGAAUCCUUACUGCAUGUCUAAAACUCGUGGCUGAAAAAAAGUAGAGGAUGUCCAGCCUAAGAAGCUGUCAGCAUUUUUUUUGUAGCACUCGAUAUAGCUGCAAGUCAAGGUCCUCAUGAAAGUGAAAGUUUUCUUUCAAAGUUGAAAACGUACUACUUGCAUUUUACAAGCUCAAGAGUAAAGCACAAUAAUUAUCAGUGCUUUAUUGGUAGUUCUAAGCCUCCAAAAUGUCAAUAAGUUGAAUCUAAACUAUCUUUGUACAAGAACAUAAAACAUAGCCUCAGGUGAUAAAAAUUUAAGGAAAGGAUAAAUUUGGUGAAUUCCCUGCACAGUUCAUAAUAGAGAUUAGUCAACCCACGUUACAAAGAUAAUUUUUGAGACGAGGUAUCACUCUGUUGCCCCGACUGGAGGGCAGUGCUGCCAUCAUAGCUCACUGCUGCCUUCAACUUCUGGGUUCAAGGGAUCCUUCCUACUCUAUCUCCCGAGUAGCUGGGAUUACAGGAAAGAGCCACCAUACCCGUUUGAUUUUUUAAAAAAGAAAUUUUUGUGGACACAGGUCUUGCUAUGUUGCCCAAGCUGAUCUCAAACUCCUGUACUCAAACAAGCCCCCAAGUUACAAAGACAAUUUUUAACGGUUUAAGAGGUUUGCUUCAAAGAGCUAUUUCUUUUCUUUUCUUUUCUUUUCUUUUCUUUUCUUUUCUUUUCUUUUCUUUUCUUUCUUUCUUUUCAGAGACAGGAUCUCACUCUGUCACCCAGGCAGGAGUGAAGUUGGCUGGAUCAUAGCUCCCUGCAGCUUUGAACUCCUGGGCUUAAAGGAUCCUUCCGCCUCAGCCUCCCAAGUGGCGGGACUCUAAGCGCACACCAUCACAAUCGACUACUUAAAACCAUUUUUUUGUUGUUGUUGUUAGAGACAAGGUCUCACUAUGUUGCUCAGGUUGGUCUCCAACUCCUGGGCUCAAGCAAUCCUCCUGCCUCAGCCUCUCCAGUAGCUGGAAUUACCGGCGCAAGCCACCACACUGGCUAAAGAGCUCUUUCUUUUAUGUAAAUUAUAUGAAGAUUGCAAAAAGGUUUUAAGUCAGACUACAUGUAAAAACCCCUUAAGCUCAAACUCACCAGGAGGACUGUGGGGCUUGGAGCUAAAGCCCAGGUGCUUUGCCCUCUGCUGCUGACUUCGGUUGCUGGCUGGGAAGGAUCCAUUUCCAGGAGGGACCCAGCAGAACCUCGGAGCCGCACGUCCCUAAUAGGCAAAUAUGAG
rnacentral:lncRNA from 1 species